rnacentral:rRNA from 1 species
UAAGCGGCCUGAGAGGGUGACCGGUCACACUGGGCACUGAGACACGGCCAGACUCCUACGGGAGGCAGCAGUGGGGAAUAUUGCACAAUGGGCGCAAUCCUGAUGCAGCAACGCCGCGUGAGGGAUGAAGGCCUUCGGGUUGUAAACCUCUUUUAGCAGGGAAGAAGCGAAAGUGACGGUACCUGCAGAAAAAGCUACCGGG